rnacentral:lncRNA from 1 species
AGCGCUGACAUCCGUGACCCGAGGGUCAGACUGAAGGGAGUGAGCCAGUGGCCGACCCCACGUGACGUGUCUUCCUUCCAUUGGCUUCAGCAGACGAGGUUCAACGGUCGGUUCGGCUCGCGCCAAGGAGCCCGGUCCCUCCCGGCUCUCACCAAGACUCGAGACCCACGCGGCCCGCAGGACACGGGCUGUCUGACCCUCGCUACGUCCUUCUCCACACAGAGGGCUUUCUUCCCCCGGACUCUCACCCACCAGGCCAGAAAAGCAUCCAAUAGAGCUCAAAGGGGAAGAGAAUCAACUGAAAUUAUGUCUCGAGUACCUCCCAGCGGCAGAAAGGUUAAUUUUAAACCUCCCUUCCCGACUGCCUGGACGGACCUGGAGGACAUCACGCUGAGUGCAAUAAGCCAGACACGAGAGGACCAGUGCCUGUGAUGCCACCUGUGGAAGGUCCCUGGAGCCGUCACAGUCAGAGGGACGGAGAGCGGAUGGUGGUGCUGGGGCGGGGGCAGUCGGUAUUCAAGGGGACAGAGUUUCAGUCUGGGAAGAUGAAGGAGUUCAGAGGUCAUGGCAGUGGUUGCACAACAGAAUGCACUUGACGCCAUUGAACUGUGCACUUAAAAUGGUUACGAUGGAACGGGAAGUGCACGAAAUUAGCUUUAAGCUUCUUUGUUCCUGAGGCCCUUUGCACGCCGUCAGCCUGCGCAAAACCCUCCGAGGGAUCCGGAAAAACCUUUAGGACGCUUUUAAGAGAAGUUCAGAAACAAGAAAGAAAGCUUCUCACCCCGUCUGGUUGACUUUGACGGCACAUUUGUGCCAAAGAUUACGCAGACGAUACUAUUUCGCUUCCUGAGAAGCAGCUCAACAGAGAAGAAAGAAACACGCGCCGGUUGGUAACGCAGCCGACGUCAUGAAGACUGAACGUCAGCUGCAGAAGGAAGGGACUCUGGGAAACUCCUCAGCGGAAACUCCCGGCUCGCACGUGGCCGUGGCGAUGCUCCUCCCACAAAAUGCACGCUUGUCUGCGGGCCGUGGACGUGGCGGGACUGGGGCAUCUUUAGUGAGAAAUCAGCACCAAACACUGGUUACUCUUGAUACAAAAACCACAGCGGAAGAUGGAAACUGUGAUAAUUAACAGGGGCGCCAACACGGUCAAGCCCUGUGCAGGCCCCGUUUUAACACUGAUCAUUUGACGCUGACGUCAUAGGGUGCGCUCACAGAUGCCCACCGAGAGGCCCCACGCCGAGAAGGAGGACAAACUGUCACUUACGGUGUGGAGCAGGGCCCUGGUACCAGAGAGAACACACUUAUGCAGGCACACAGCGC